AUUGAACGCUGGCGGCAGGCCUAACACAUGCAAGUCGAGCGAGCGGCGGACGGGUGAGUAAUGUCUGGGAAACUGCCUGAUGGAGGGGGAUAACUCCUGGAACCGGUAGCUAAUCCCGCAUACCAUCAGAUUUGCCCAGAUGGGAUUAGCUAGUAGGUGGGGUAACGGCUCACCGAGGCGACGAUCCCUAUCUGGUCUGAGAGGAUGACCAGACACACUGGAACUGAGACACGGGCCAGACUCCUAAGGGAGGCAGCAGUGGGGAAGAGUGCACAAUGGGCGCAAGACUGAUGCAGCCAUGCCGAGUGUGUGAAGAAGGCCUUCGGGUUGUAAAGCACUUUCAGCGGGGAGGCGUUACCCACAGAAGAAGCACCGGCUAACUCCGUGCCAGCAGCCGCGGUAAUAC
rnacentral:rRNA from 1 species